GGGGCCGUGGCUCAGUGGCAGAGCAUCUGCUUUGCAUGCAGAAGCUCCCGGGUUCAACCCCCGGCAUCCCCA